rnacentral:rRNA from 1 species
UACGUAGGGUGCGAGCGUUAAUCGGAAUUACUGGGCGUAAAGUGUGCGCAGGCGGCCGAGCAAGUCGAGUGUGAAAGCCCCGGGCUUAACUUGGGAAUUGCGCUCGAAACUACUUGGCUUGAGUGUGGCAGAGGAAGGUGGAAUUCCACGUGUAGCGGUGAAAUGCGUAGAGAUGUGGAGGAACACCGAUGGCGAAGGCAGCCUUCUGGGCCAACACUGACGCUCAUGCACGAAAGCGUGGGGAGCAAACAGG